rnacentral:ncRNA from 1 species
GAACGCUGGCGGCAGGCCUAACACAUGCAAGUCGUACGAGAAGGUUCCUUCGGGAACUGGAGAGUGGCGCACGGGUGAGUAACGCGUGGGGACCUACCUUUUAGUGGGGGAUAACGGUUGGAAACGACCGCUAAUACCGCAUACGCCCUUCGGGGGAAAGAUUUAUCGCUAAGAGAUGGACCCGCGUUGGAUUAGAUAGUUGGUGAGGUAACGGCUCACCAAGUCUUCGAUCCAUAGCUGGUUUGAGAGGAUGAUCAGCCACACUGGGACUGAGACACGGCCCAGACUCCUACGGGAGGCAGCAGUGGGGAA